rnacentral:rRNA from 1 species
ACGUACACUCCUGCGGGAGGCAGCAGUGGGGAAUUUUGGACAAUGGGCGCAAGCCUGAUCCAGCCAUGCCGCGUGCGGGAAGAAGGCCUUCGGGUUGUAAACCGCUUUUGUCAGGGAAGAAAAGGUUCUGGCUAAUACCUGGGACUCAUGACGGUACCUGAAGAAUAAGCACCGGCUAACUACGUGCCAGCAGCCGCGGUAAUACGUAGGGUGCAAGCGUUAAUCGGAAUUACUGGGCGUAAAGCGUGCGCAGGCGGUUAUGCAAGACAGAGGUGAAAUCCCCGGGCUCAACCUGGGAACUGCCUUUGUGACUGCAUGGCUAGAGUACGGUAGAGGGGGAUGGAAUUCCGCGUGUAGCAGUGAAAUGCGUAGAUAUGCGGAGGAACACCGAUGGCGAAGGCAAUCCCCUGGACCUGUACUGACGCUCAUGCACGAAAGCGUGGGGAGCAAACAGGAUUAUAAACCCGAGUAGUCCCAUG